rnacentral:rRNA from 1 species
GGCUUCCGGAGCUAACGCGUUAAAUCGACCGCCUGGGGAGUACGGCCGCAAGGUUAAAACUCAAAUGAAUUGACGGGGGCCCGCACAAGCGGUGGAGCAUGUGGUUUAAUUCGAUGCAACGCGAAGAACCUUACCUGGUCUUGACAUCCACAGAACUUAGCAGAGAUGCUUUGGUGCCUUCGGGAACUGUGAGACAGGUGCUGCAUGGCUGUCGUCAGCUCGUGUUGUGAAAUGUUGGGUUAAGUCCCGCAACGAGCGCAACCCUUAUCCUUUGUUGCCAGCGGUCCGGCCGGGAACUCAAAGGAGACUGCCAGUGAUAAACUGGAGGAAGGUGGGGAUGACGUCAAGUCAUCAUGGCCCUUACGACCAGGGCUACACACGUGCUACAAUGGCAUAUACAAAGAGAAGCGACCUCGCGAGAGCAAGCGGACCUCAUAAAGUAUGUCGUAGUCCGGAUUGGAGUCUGCAACUCGACUCCAUGAAGUCGGAAUCGCUAGUAAUCGUAGAUCNNNNNGCUACGGUGAAUACGUUCCCGGGCCUUGUACACACCGCCCGUCACACCAUGGGAGUGGGUUGCAAAAGAAGUAGGUAGCUUAACCUUGGGGAGGGCGCUUACCACUUUGUGAUUCAUGG